CUGCAAUCUAGACCUCUCUA
rnacentral:snRNA from 1 species